CAUAUGGCAACCAAACUGACUACAGAAUAUUUGAGCUUAACAAACGGCUUCAGAACUGGACAGAGGAGUGUGACAAUCUCUGGUGGGAUGCAUUCACGACUGAGUUCUUUGAGGAUGAUGCCAUGUUGACCAUCACUUUCUGCCUGGAGGAUGGACCAAAGAGAUAUACCAUUGGCCGGACCCUGAUCCCACGCUACUUCCGCAGCAUCUUUGAGGGGGGUGCUACGGAGCUGUACUAUGUUCUUAAGCACCCCAAGGAGGCAUUCCACAGCAACUUUGUGUCCCUCGACUGUGACCAGGGCAGCAUGGUGACCCAGCAUGGCAAGCCCAUGUUCACCCAGGUCAGCAACCCAGCUGGAUGUGGAACACCAUGGCACCUGGGUUUGAUUCCCAUCCUCUCUCCCAGUGUAUACUCACAGCUGUUCCCCAGGGAGCCAUAAUGUGAAGUGGCAAAAUAAGAAGGGCGGGUAGGCAUGUU
rnacentral:sRNA from 1 species